UACGUAGGGUGCGAGCGUUGUCCGGAAUUACUGGGCGUAAAGAGCUUGUAGGUGGUUUGUCGCGUUGUUCGUGAAAUCUCACGGCUCAACUGUGAGCGUGCGGGCGAUACGGGCAGACUAGAGUACUGCAGGGGAGACUGGAAUUCCUGGUGUAGCGGGGAAAUGCGCAGAUAUCAGGAGGAACACCGGUGGCGAAGGCGGGUCUCUGGGCCGAUACUGACGCUGAGGAGCGAAAGCGUGGGGAGCGAACAGG
rnacentral:rRNA from 1 species